UUUCUGUUGCGGGACUGGGGCGCCUGUGGUAGACCUUUUCUGAAGAGAAACGUAAAGUAGCCCCCCACCCUCACCCCAAAAAGCCUGAGCCGACGUUGUUAAAGACGACUGUAAAGUGAUGGCCGAUAUAAAUGUUUACAACCUGGAGAACUCUUUAGAUCGUGUCCAGGGAUCCAGCCGAACUGACGAAGGCUCAAUAGAGGGAAUUACCUUAGAAUAAGCAUGAGGAGCGCAGACUGAAAGGUCACUGCCAAUGACCCUCCGAGGAUUUUAUUGCAUCGGUGUGAUUGGUCCAUUCCCCUGUCUGUCAAACGCUUGUACAUUUCCCCUUGUGCCAAUGUGAAAAAAAUCAGUAGGCCUAUUUAGAGAGAAAGGUCUGUCCAUAACAUUUUUAACCACAGAACAAUUUUUUUAAUCAUAAUACAAUGUACAAUGUACAAUUCUAAUGUCUCUUUUUCGCAGUAAGUAUUUCAUACGUACAAUGCCGAUGGAGCGGAUUAUCAAUGAUUAUCAAUGGUUACAUUAGAAAAUAUCCAGGCUCCUCCAUCAUGAAAUAACGUAUGUUGUUAAAAUAUUAUUCUAUGCAUGUGUACCUCUGCCUGUGUAUUUGUGAAAAUGUUUAAGUUAAACCGCGUCAUCGUGUUUGUGAUCAUGUAAAUAUUGUGUUGACUAAAAAAACCAAAGUCAAGAUCAACAGUAUGUUUAAAAUCUGUUUUGACUGAACACCGCAUUACUCCAUUGAUUGUUUUUGAGAAGUCAAUUUGAAAAGAGCAUUUUGGUAUUUUGCGCAAUGACGAAUCUGGCAAAGUUUCGAGGAUCGAAUUUUUCAUCGAUAUCCGUCAGUGUGUGCAGCAGCGCAGCAGUUUUGUUGUUGGACAUUUGUGCAGACAGUUUUCCAUUAUUUGCACAGUUGGAAUUCUUACGAGAAACAAACGUUGAAUGAGUAAUAUGUUUCAUCUGAUUGAUUGCUAUCUGUACAUGUUAAUUAAUCAAUUAAAGGAAUAAAGGUU